AUUGAACGCUGGCGGCAUGCCUUACACAUGCAAGUCGAACGGCAGCACGGGGGCAACCCUGGUGGCGAGUGGCGAACGGGUGAGUAAUACAUCGGAACAUGUCCUAGAGUGGGGGAUAACGCGUCGAAAGAUGUGCUAAUACCGCAUACGAUCUACGGAUGAAAGCGGGGGACCGCAAGGCCUCGCGCUCUUGGAGUGGCCGAUGUCGGAUUAGCUAGUUGGCGGGGUAAUGGCCCACCAAGGCGACGAUCCGUAGCUGGUCUGAGAGGAUGAUCAGCCACACUGGAACUGAGACACGGUCCAGACUCCUACGGGAGGCAGCAGUGGGGAAUUUUGGACAAUGGGCGCAAGCCUGAUCCAGCCAUGCCGCGUGAGUGAAGAAGGCCUUCGGGUUGUAAAGCUCUUUCGGCGGGAACGAAACGGUCCGUGCCAACACCGCGGACUAAUGACGGUACCCGAAGAAGAAGCACCGGCUAACUACGUGCCAGCCGCCGCCGUAAGAC
rnacentral:rRNA from 1 species